ensembl:lncRNA
CCUCAGACUUUCUAGGUAGAAAAUAUGAAUAAGUUGGUUCCUAAAAUUGAGACUCUGUCUCUGACUUGAGACUUAGUAUAAACAGCUCUUUGCUGGAACACCAAAUUGUCCCUUCUACUCUUCUUUAUCCUUAUCCAGAUUUUAUCUUUUCCUUUCAGGGGUUUCUAUGUAUUCAAUCUUUAUCUUCUGGCACGCAUCCAUUCUACCUUUGGAAGAACCUCUGUGUAGUCCAUGUGCACAUUUUUGUCUUUGUCUUACCAUGUUAAACUGUUGUAUUCUACACCUUCCUGUGAAUGUGUACAAUUUGUAAGCUGGGUCAUUGGUAUGGUCUCCCUAGCAAUGUUCAAUCCACAGUCAUUUCUUUCUGUUGCCUAGGCUGGUUUGGCUUUUAAGUAAAUAAGAGUAAAUUUCUGUAUGUAUGGAUGAGGUUAAAAUAUAAAAGCUUGACUAUCAGACAUGAAUCAAAUGUGCUGUUCAGACUAAUCAAUUAUUUGAAUAUAUCUGGAACUGCAUGAAUUAAUCUUAAUCAUGUCUAUUCUUUGAAAAAAUCAACAGUUAAAAAAUUGCAUAUCUCAUUAUUAAAAAUGAUUUUGUAGUUGAGAUAUAAUCUCCUAAAUGAAGGAAUAAAAAUAAGAGCAGGAUGAGCCAGCUAGCCAUUUGUCUUCCUAAACACUUGAAAUAAAUGAAGAUAAAAAAAUGCUAGACAUUGUUAAAUAAAUCAGGGGUCUUAUGACAUUUCUAAUAUAUUAUGAACAAAAUUUUGAUUUGAUUUAUCUAUUUAAAAUAACUAGCAAGGAAUUGUCUAAGUGCUAAAACAUAAAUUACAAAUGUGAAACCUUGAUUUAUGUUAAUGGUGAAUAAUAUGUGGGAAGUGGCAAGUGAUCACAGAUUUUGCAAUAUUCUGUAAGUGAGGGGGAUGGAGUCAUGGAAAAGUAUGGAAAAAAGUGCUGCCUUGGGCCCCAUUUCUUGAUAUAUAGAUGAUGGCUGUCUUCUAUGAAAUGAUAUAAUCUUGAUGAUGUGACCUUUCACUUCUAUGCCAGACAUCUCCAAAUUUUAGUGAAAUCUGCUCGACACUUCUGAAUGCCUCUACGUCUCCAUGAUGGAUCAGAAAUAUGCAUAUCUCUACAAGGAUAGCAUGGAAGAAAAGAACUGUCUCUAGGGGCACACAGGUGGCUGCUCUGUGGACAUGUGCCAUCCGAACACGUUCCAGACAACAUAAGCUAAUUCUGGCUAGAAUUUAUUGAUGAAGACUCAGAUCUUGAAAUCUGAAUUUAAAACAACCAGCUUUUGGAUGAGCCAGACCAAGGACCCCCAGGGACCUUAGAAGCAGAAGAUAAUGGACCUUUUCUAUAGAACAUUGGACUCUUUGUUUCUCACCUUUAGUGGCCUGAUGUCAAAUGGGUCAUCUUAGUCAAGAAGGCAGGCAGGACCAUGUAUUACAAGCCUAAUUGCUGGGGAUUUUUCUGUAUCUGAAGCAAUUAUAGGCAAAGGGAAUGUUUAGAAGUAAUAAAAUUUUAAGACUUUAAGGGUGAAUGACAGAUAAACUACACAUAUUUAAAGUAUAUAAUUUGGUAUAUUUUGACAUGUGUGUAUACACACCAGGAAACUAUCACCAUAAUGAAGAAAAUGAAGAUAUCCAUAUCUCUGCUGGUUUCCUUUCGUCCUUUUUUCUUUCUUCUCUCUCAGUCCUGUGUCCCUCUUCCUGUACCCAGGCAUCAGCUGACCUGCUUCUGUCAUUGUGGAUUAGUUUGCACUUUCUAGAAUUUUACUUAAAUGGGAUCAUAAGUUCUUUUCUGACUUUUUUCAUUCAGUGUAAUUAUUUUGAGACUUAUCCAUGCUGUAGUAUUUAUCAGUACCUUAUUGCUUUUUAUGGGUGAUUAAUGUUCCAUUGGCUGGCUAUACUAUAGUUUAUUCAUUAAGCUGUUGAUGACAUUAGGGUUCUAGUUUGAGGCUAUUACUGAUAAAGUUGGUAUGAAUAUUUACAUGCAAGUGUUUUCUUUUAGACAUUUGUUUUCAUUUCUCUUGAGUAAAACCUAGGAGUAGAAUGGCCUGGUAAUCCUGUAGGUGGGUGUUUUACUUUUUCAUCAACUGCCAAGAAGUUUUUCAAAGUGGUUGUAUAAUUUUCUAUUCCUACUGGCAACAUGUGAGAGUUCUGGUUCUCUAUCAUCACUAGCACUUGGUUAUAUCCAGGACUUACUUUUUUUUUAUUAAGUUUAUUGGUACAUUUUAGGUAUACAAUACAGUUACUUUCACCAUUGGUAUCUUGUACCUUUACAUGAUAUAUAUUGGUUCUUAUUUUUUCCCCCUUCUCCUGCCAUCCCUUCAACCCCUCCACCCUUCCCUAUUUACAAAGACUUUGUUUCCAUUUUUUCAUUUUCUCAUAAUUUUUCCUUUCCCUUCUUUCCUUUCCCCUACCCCUCCCACUUUCCCUUCCUCCUUUGAACCUUUUCUUCCUAUUUCACGUUAUCAAUCAUACAUUUUGAUCCUUAUUUAUACUUUUAGUUUCUCACACCAGAGAAACUAUUUGGUAUUUACAUAUGCAUGCCCUGUUUAUUUCACUUAAGAGUUGCAUAUCGAGGCCAUACUUUAAGUGAAAUAAAUGGGACACAUGUGUAAAUAGCGAAUAGUUUCUGUAGUGUGAGAAACUGAUAGUGUAAAUAAGAGUUAAAAUGAUUAAAAUGAAUAAUUGAUAAUUUGAAAUAGGAAGAAAGGUCCAAAGACGAAGGAGUGAAGGGAGGGGAAGGGGAAAAGAAAAGAGGGAAAGGAAAAACUAUGAGAAAAGAAAAAAAAAUGGAAAUGAAAUCUAUGUAAAUAGGGAAGGGCGGAACGGGUGAAGGGCGCACUAGUAAUGGGGAAAAAAAAUAAGAACCAAGAUACAUCAUGUACAGAUACAAACACCCAAUGAUAAAUGUAAAAGAAUUGUAUACCUAAAAUGUAAACGAAUUGUAUACCUAAAAUGUACCAAUAAAAGAACUAAAAAAAAGAGUAUGUCCUCAAUGUACAUCCAUUUAGCUAUUAGCUAUAAAUGACUCUAGUUUCUCAUUCUUUAUGGCUGAGUAGUACUCCAUUUUAUAAAAAAAAACCCACAUCUUUAUCCAGUUUCCAGUUGAUGGGCGAUUGGGCUGUUUCCAAGCUUUAGC